AUACGUAGGGGGCGAGCGUUGUCCGGAUUUAUUGGGCGUAAAGGGUGCGUAGGCGGCCUUGUAAGUCAGAUGUGAAAGAUCAUGGCUUAACUGUGGUAAGCAUUUGAAACUGCAGGGCUUGAGUACAGGAGAGGAGAGUGGAAUUCCUAGUGUAGCGGUGAAAUGCGUAGAUAUUAGGAGGAAUACCAGUGGCGAAGGCGACUCUCUGGACUGAUACUGACGCUGAGGCACGAAAGCGUGGGGAGCAAACAGGAUUAGAUACCCUGGUAGUCCACGCUAUAAACGAUGAGUGCUAGGUGUCGGGGGUCAAACCUCGGUGCCGCAGUUAACACAUUAAGCACUCCGCCUGGGGAGUACGGCCGCAAGGCUGAAACUUAAAUGAAUUGGCGGGG
rnacentral:rRNA from 1 species